UACGAAGGUGGCUAGCGUUGCUCGGAAUCACUGGGCGUAAAGGGUGCGUAGGCGGGUCUUUAAGUCAGGGGUGAAAUCCUGGAGCUCAACUCCAGAACUGCCUUUGAUACUGAAGAUCUUGAGUUCGGGAGAGGUGAGUGGAACUGCGAGUGUAGAGGUGAAAUUCGUAGAUAUCUGGAGGAAUACCGGUGGCGAAGGCGGCAUCCUGGACCGAGAUUGACACUGAUGAGCGAAAGCCAGGGGAGCAAACGGG
rnacentral:rRNA from 1 species